rnacentral:rRNA from 1 species
AUUGAACGCUGGCGGCAUGCCUUACACAUGCAAGUCGAACGGCAGCAUGAUCUAGCUUGCUAGAUUGAUGGCGAGUGGCGAACGGGUGAGUAAUACAUCGGAACGUGCCCUGUAGUGGGGGAUAACUAGUCGAAAGAUUAGCUAAUACCGCAUACGACCUGAGGGUGAAAGUGGGGGACCGCAAGGCCUCAUGCUAUAGGAGCGGCCGAUGUCUGAUUAGCUAGUUGGUGGGGUAAAGGCCCACCAAGGCGACGAUCAGUAGCUGGUCUGAGAGGACGAUCAGCCACACUGGGACUGAGACACGGCCCAGACUCCUACGGGAGGCAGCAGUGGGGAAUUUUGGACAAUGGGGGCAACCCUGAUCCAGCAAUGCCGCGUGUGUGAAGAAGGCCUUCGGGUUGUAAAGCACUUUUGUCCGGAAAGAAAUCGCACUUACUAAUAUUAGGUGUGGAUGACGGUACCGGAAGAAUAAGGACCGGCUAACUACGUGCCAGCAGCCGCGGUAAUACGUAGGGUCCAAGCGUUUAAUCGGAAUACUGGGCGUAAAGCGUGCGCAGGCGGUUGUGCAAGACCGAUGUGAAAUCCCCGGGCUUAACCUGGGAAUUGCAUUGGUGACUGCACGGCUAGAGUGUGUCAGAGGGGGGUAGAAUUCCACGUGUAGCAGUGAAAUGCGUAGAGAUGUGGAGGAAUACCGAUGGCGAAGGCAGCCCCCUGGGAUAACACUGACGCUCAUGCACGAAAGCGUGGGGAGCAAACAGGAUUAGAUACCCUGGUAGUCCACGCCCUAAACGAUGUCAACUAGUUGUUGGGGAUUCAUUUCCUUAGUAACGUAGCUAACGCGUGAAGUUGACCGCCUGGGGAGUACGGUCGCAAGAUUAAAACUCAAAGGAAUUGACGGGGACCCGCACAAGCGGUGGAUGAUGUGGAUUAAUUCGAUGCAACGCGAAAAACCUUACCUACCCUUGACAUGCCACUAACGAAGCAGAGAUGCAUUAGGUGCUCGAAAGAGAAAGUGGACACAGGUGCUGCAUGGCUGUCGUCAGCUCGUGUCGUGAGAUGUUGGGUUAAGUCCCGCAACGAGCGCAACCCUUGUCUCUAGUUGCUACGAAAGGGCACUCUAGAGAGACUGCCGGUGACAAACCGGAGGAAGGUGGGGAUGACGUCAAGUC